AUCAGAUUGCUGUGAGGAGGAAAUGAGGCUGCUACAGGAAAAAGAAAGAAAAUGACAACGUUUGGCUCAUGCCAAGAAGUGGUAUGCCUCUACCUUUGGCCUGGUAUGACUGCUCUCACAAAGGGGCCAGCAAAGAAAAUGCUUUUGCUGGAGGCCAGAGUCAGCUUCUUUUUGGCUAGCGUCAACCUGAAUGCAAUUGACUCCACUGAUCAGCGGAUACGUGAUCACCUACAUCGUGCCAAUCACUCUGCUAGAUGUUGAAACUACAACGACAGUAGAAUAAAAUAGAAUGGAAUAAAAUCA
rnacentral:lncRNA from 1 species